GGUCAAGCGAAUAAGCGCACACGGUGGAUGCCUUGGCGGUCAGAGGCGAUGAAGGACGUGGCAGCCUGCGAAAAGUGUCGGGGAGCUGGCAACAAGCUUUGAUCCGGCAAUGUCCGAAUGGGGAAACCCACUCCGCAAGGAGUAUCGUGCAGUGAAUACAUAGCUGUACGAGGCGAACCCGGGGAACUGAAAUAUCUAAGUACCCGGAGGAAAAGAAAUCAACCGAGAUUCCCUAAGUAGCGACGAGCGAACGGGGACUAGCCCAAAAGUCGUCAUGGUUUUAGCAAAACAGUCUGGAAAGACUGGCCAUAGAUGGUGAAAGCCCAGUAUGCGAAAGGGCCAUGACGAUGAAAAGUGAGUAGGGCGGGGCACGUGAAACCCUGUCUGAACAUGGGGGGACCAUCCUCCAAGGCUAAAUACUCCUGACCGACCGAUAGUGAACCAGUACCGUGAGGGAAAGGCGAAAAGAACCCUGGUGAAGGGAGUGAAAUAGAACCUGAAACCGUGUGCGUACAAGCAGUCGGAGCCCCUUCGUGGGGUGACGGCGUACCUUUUGUAUAAUGGGUCAGCGACUUACUGUUUGUGGCGAGCUUAACCGUAUAGGGGAGGCGAAGGGAAACCGAGUCUGAUAAGGGCGCAUAGUCGCAGGCAGUAGACCCGAAACCGGGUGAUCUAGUCAUGCCCAGGGUGAAGGUUGAGUAACAUCAACUGGAGGCCCGAACCCACUCCCGUUGCAAAGGUAGGGGAUGAGGUGUGAUUAGGAGUGAAAAGCUAAUCGAACCCGGAGAUAGCUGGUUCUCCUCGAAAGCUAUUUAGGUAGCGCCUCGGACGAAUACUGCUGGGGGUAGAGCACUGUUAUGGCUAGGGGGUCAUUGCGACUUACCAAACCAUGGCAAACUCCGAAUACCAGCACGUACUAUCCGGGAGACACACGGCGGGUGCUAACGUUCGUCGUGAAAAGGGAAACAACCCAGACCCACAGCUAAGGUCCCAAAUUCCAUGCUAAGUGGAAAACCAUGUGGAAAGGCACAGACAGCCAGGAGGUUGGCUUAGAAGCAGCCACCCUUUAAAGAAAGCGUAAUAGCUCACUGGUCGAGUCGGUCUGCGGGGAAGAUUUAACGGGGCUAAGCAUGGAACCGAAGCUUGGGGUGCACAGCAAUGUGCGCGGUAGAGGAGCGUUCCGUAAGCCGUUGAAGGUGGAUUGAGAAGUCUGCUGGAGGUAUCGGAAGUGCGAAUGCUGACAUGAGUAACGAUAAUGUGGGUGAAAAACCCGCACGCCGAAAGCCCAAGGUUUCCUUGCGCAACGUUAAUCGGCGCAGGGUGAGUCGGCCCCUAAGGCGAGGCAGAAAUGCGUAGUCGAUGGGAAGCUGGUUAAUAUUCCAGCACCUCGCGCAAGUGCGAUGGAGGGACGGAGAAGGUUAGGCAGGCCCCGCGUUGGUUGUCGGGGUGAGAGAGUUGAGGCGGUCCCCUUAGGCAAAUCCGGGGGGGCAACGUUGAGACUAAGGACCAGCCCUUUAGGGCGAAGCUGCUGAUAUCACGCUUCCAGGAAAAGCUCCUAAGCUUCAGCUUGCGCAGACCGUACCGUAAACCGACACAGGUGGGCAGGAUGAGAAUUCUCAGGCGCUUGAGAGAACUCGGGUGAAGGAACUAGGCAAAAUGGCACCGUAACUUCGGGAGAAGGUGCGCCCCUUUUGGUUAAUAGCUGAGGGGGGCCUCAGAAACCAGGCCGCUGCGACUGUUUAUCAAAAACACAGCACUCUGCAAACACGAAAGUGGACGUAUAGGGUGUGACGCCUGCCCGGUGCUGGAAGGUUAAUUGAUGGGGUCAGCCGCAAGGCGAAGCUCUUGAUCGAAGCCCCAGUAAACGGCGGCCGUAACUAUAACGGUCCUAAGGUAGCGAAAUUCCUUGUCGGGUAAGUUCCGACCUGCACGAAUGGCGUAACGACAGCGGCGCUGUCUCCACCCGAGACUCAGUGAAAUUGAAAUCGCUGUGAAGAUGCAGCGUUCCCGUGGCAAGACGGAAAGACCCCGUGAACCUUUACUAUAGCUUUACACUGAACGUUGAGUUCGUCUGUGUAGGAUAGGUGGGAGGCUGUGAAACCCUGGCGCUAGCUGGGGUGGAGCCAACCUUGAAAUACCACCCUGUCGUGCUUGACGUUCUAACCUGGGCCCGUAAUCCGGGUCGGGGACCGUGUAUGGUGGGUAGUUUGACUGGGGCGGUCUCCUCCCAAAGAGUAACGGAGGAGCACGAAGGUACGCUCAGCGCGGUCGGACAUCGCGCACUGUGUGCAAAGGCAUAAGCGUGCUUGACUGCAAGAUCGACGGAUCAAGCAGGUACGAAAGUAGGUCUUAGUGAUCCGGUGGUUCUGUAUGGAAGGGCCAUCGCUCAACGGAUAAAAGGUACUCCGGGGAUAACAGGCUGAUACCGCCCAAGAGUUCAUAUCGACGGCGGUGUUUGGCACCUCGAUGUCGGCUCAUCACAUCCUGGGGCUGUAGUCGGUCCCAAGGGUAUGGCUGUUCGCCAUUUAAAGUGGUACGCGAGCUGGGUUCAGAACGUCGUGAGACAGUUCGGUCCCUAUCUGCCAUGGGCGUUGGAGAUUUGAGAGGGGCUGCUCCUAGUACGAGAGGACCGGAGUGGACGAAUCUCUGGUGUUCCGGUUGUCACGCCAGUGGCAUUGCCGGGUAGCUAUAUUCGGAAGCGAUAACCGCUGAAAGCAUCUAAGCGGGAAGCGCGCCUCAAGAUGAGAUCUCCCGGGGCACAAGCCCCCUGAAGGAACCAUCAAGACCAGGUGGUUGAUAGGCAGGGUGUGUAAGCACAGCAAUGUGUUGAGCUAACCUGUACUAAUGAUCCGUGUGGCUUGACCAU
rnacentral:rRNA from 1 species